UACGUAGGGUGCAAGCGUUGUCCGGAAUCAUUGGGCGUAAAGAGCGUGUAGGCGGUCCGGUCAGUCGGUUGUGAAAGUCAAGGGCUCAACCCUUGAAUGCCGGCCGAUACUGCCGGGCUAGAGUCCGGAAGAGGUGAGUGGAAUUCCUGGUGUAGCGGUGAAAUGCGCAGAUAUCAGGAGGAACACCGAUGGCGAAGGCAGCUCACUGGGACGGUACUGACGCUGAGGCACGAAAGCGUGGGUAGCAAACAGG
rnacentral:rRNA from 1 species